GCGUGGAUGGUGUAGCGGUAACAUUGGGUCUUCCCACUCCUCCGAUCCCGUGAUCGGCGUAAUCAAAGAUGGCCUAGCUCCGGGUUCGACUCCCGGUUCACGCA